AAGGACAUGUGGACAGUAUGGGAGUGAGAAUGUUGGCAUGAGUAGCGAGAUGUGGGUGAGAAUCCCACAGGCCGUAAACCCAAGGUUUCCAGGGGAAGGUUCGUCCGCCCUGGGUUAGUCGGGACCUAAGCUGAGGCCGAAAGGCGUAGGUGAUGGACAACAGGUUGAUAUUCCUGUACUACCGAUAACCGGUUGAGAGAAGGGAUGACACAGUAGGAUAAGCUAAGCACACUGUUGGUUAUGUGUGCCCAAGCAUUGAGGCAGUCCAAGUAGGCAAAUCCGCUUUGAUAAUGCUGGGAUGUGAUGGGGAGCGAAAUUUAGUAGCGAAGUAGCUGAUUUCACACUGUCAAGAAAAGUCUCUAUCGAGGUUAAAGGUACCCGUACCGCAAACCGACACAGGUGGGUGAGGAGAGUAUCCUAAGGCCA
rnacentral:rRNA from 1 species